GAUGAACGCUGGCGGCGUGCCUAAUACAUGCAAGUAGAACGCUGAAGGAAGGAGCUUGCUCUUUCCGGAUGAGUUGCGAACGGGUGAGUAACGCGUAGGUAACCUGCCUGGUAGCGGGGGAUAACUAUUGGAAACGAUAGCUAAUACCGCAUAACAGUAGAUGUUGCAUGAUAUCUACUUAAAAGGUGCAAUUGCCCCACUACCAGAUGGACCUGCGUUGUAUUAGCUAGUUGGUGAGGUAACGGCUCACCAAGGCGACGAUACAUAGCCGACCUGAGAGGGUGAUCGGCCACACUGGGAAUGAAACACGGCCCAGACUCCUACGGGAGGCAGCAGUAGGGAAUCUUCGGCAAUUGACGGAAGUCUGACCGAGCAACGCCGCGGGAGUGAAGAAGGAUUUCGGAUCGUAAAGCUCUGUUGUAAGAGAAGAACGAGUGUGAGAGUGGAAAGUUCACACUGUGACGGUAGCUAACCAGAAAGGGACGGCUAACUACGUG
rnacentral:rRNA from 1 species